UCGACCAUCCAUGCACAUCCAC
rnacentral:siRNA from 1 species